GGAAAGGAAUAUGUGGGAGGCAAGGAAGCUAGAAUGAUAAUUAAUAAGAGGCAAGUUACAAAUUUAGUUUUAAAGGCUUUAAUUGGCUUUAUUUCUGGUUUUUGAUCCAGGAAACCUUUUAUUCCAGAGAAUAGAGUAAGCGUUCUGAUGAGCUGAGCAGAAGUAGCAGGCUUUACGGACAGAGCAUCCCCGAGGGAGGCAGAAGCAAGGAGCAAGGCAUAGAUUUGCGCCUCAGCUUUGGUUCUAAAGAUGCUUUCCCUAAAAUCUCGGGCCAGGAGACAGAGCAACAGCAAGGUAACUGGAAGAAGAACCAUGAAUUUUAGGAGGAGAAUGAGCUCCCAAUGUCUUCCUAGCCAGCAUGGGCACCCUGUAACCAUCACACACUGGCUGGGAUGCCUAAAGAAUCAGAAGACUCCACCCAGGCACCAGAGCUUGUCUCUUAAAACUGAGAAUGGAUCUGUUCCUCCUGACUUCUGCAGAAUUCAGAAAGGCUUGGUCAAAAGAAAACAACAUUGGAAAGGCAACACGGGGAAUUCUGACACUGUAGUCUCUUCUCCAAUGCUGUCAGGCUGAGGGAAAGGUGAGCUUGACUCACUCAGGGCCUUUUGCGGGAAGACUGACGUACACAAGUGCAGUACUGGAAAGGUGGAAAGGGUUCUCCUCCAUCUCCCUCAAAAACCAGGAGUGUGAUUGCAGGAAACAACAACAACAGCAACAACAGCAGCAACAGCAACAACAAGGCUAAGUACUGUUGGAUGGGUGACUGAAAAUACUGCCUCUAACAGAGUUCUCAUCAUCAGUGAGGUUCGGAGCCUAGGGAUUCAGGAAAGUUUGGGUAUAGAAUCUCUUUCUCUUUGGUUUCUGUAUCUCCAUCAAAUAAAAUUCAGCCACAAGAAAAACCCAAGUAUUAGGAGCUGACCUUUAGAGCCAUCUUAAUUGCAGUAAAUGAAUGAGGCUUGUAGCUCCAGGCUGUAGACACGUCUGUUCUAAGUCGCUCUGUGGUUUUAAAACUAGACAGCUAGUCUUCCAGACACGAUAUAGUUGAUGCACACAUCAUAGCAGCUAUGCUUGUCUGCAUCUUCAUUAGAGUUACAUAAAAUCAAGUCAGUCAAAAUUCUAUCAUGGUGAGAGUGAACUCUUGAAGCCCCAUCCUUAGCUGAUGAGUUGCCUACAGUUGAAGGCUGCUGAGGGAGGAGUUACUUUUCUUUAGAGAAUGUGGCCACUGGUAGAUUACCCUUGACCUAGUGGAUGACCCCAAAUGCAUUCUCACAUAGUAAGCACUAACUGGACUCAAGAGGGCUACCGAUAAGAGUAACAAUGAUAAAGAAGGCAUUGAGUCAGAAUGUAAAGGGGUUGGUGAAUUUCUAGGGGACAUGUAGGAAGGCAGUUGGGGUGGAUAAGAUCAAAAAAGGUUGUACAUAUAUAAUCUUUUCAAAGAAUUAAACAAUUCUUUGUUCUAAAAUUAUACAAGGGCAUGCAGUGAAUAUUUUUUGAUCUUCCUGGCACCUGAGUUUGCUUCUCUUUGAGGAACUUUUUAAUUUAUAAAAAGUAGAGUUUACCAGCCAGUACAAAAGUAGAAACUUUCAGAUAGCACAUUUGUAACGUCCCCUAGAGAUGUGAGAUGUGGUUAUAUCAUCUAGGGCUGGCCAUUCUGAAGCAUCAAACUUUGAAUUAGAAGCUAGAGAUGAAAAGGUGAAGGGGGAAGCCGUUAUUUUGGUGGUUGAGAAUGCAAAAAUGACAAAUACUAUAAUCAUGUCACUAAGCACAGAAGAAGCAGUUGGCAGGAGUAAAGUCUAUGCCUAAUGUUAUAGACAAUGGUCACAAAACAGUGAUACCCGGCAUCAUAGUUCUUAGGGUAGCUUUGCUAUUUUUAGCCAUGGGCUGUUCUUUCUUUAACCUCCUUACUUUCAGAGAAAGUGAUGGCUAUUCUUGGCUGACAACUUGACUACAUCAGGAAUGAACUACCUCCAGAAAUGGAGAAAACCGGUGAGAUUAUUUUUGCUUGGGUGAGUCCACUUCUAGUUUGGACCUUUGAGGUAGGGAGACACACACCUUUGAU
rnacentral:lncRNA from 1 species